AUCUUCCAAACAUCUGCUAAUUGAAUAUUUUCUUGUAUUUCGCACCAACAAGUCAAAAGAUCCACCACCCUUUCAAAGAUUUAUCCCAUAGACCUUUGCCACAUCACAAUGGAGAAGUAGAUGGUCCGUUGAUUCGCCAUUCCUUUUGCACAUGAAGCACAACUCCAUUAUGAAAAAACCGCGCUUCCUCAGCUUGUUGGUAAGAAAUUUUCGUCCCCGCAAACACAAA